rnacentral:misc_RNA from 1 species
AGCAGCCGCGGUAAUUCCAGUUCCAAUAGCGUAUAUUAAAGUUGUUGCAGUUAAAAAGCUCGUAGUUGAAUUUCGGGAUCAAUAUGUUGGUCGUGCCUCGGUACGUACUAGCUUAUUGGUUUCUCCUUUCUGAAGAACCAUGAUGUCAUUUAUUUGGUGUCGUGGGGAAUCAGGACUGUUACUUUGAAAAAUUAGAGUGUUUAAAGCAGGCUCACGCUUGAAUACAUUAGCAUGGAAUAAUGAAAUAGGACGUUUGAUUCUAUUUUGUUGGUUUCUAGGAUCGACGUAAUGAUUAAUAGGGAUAGUUGGGGGCAUUAGUAUUCAAUUGUCAGAGGUGAAAUUCUUGGAUUUAUUGAAGACUAACUACUGCGAAAGCAUUUGCCAAGGAUGUUUUCAUUAAUCAAGAACGAAAGUUAGGGGAUCGAAGACGAUCAGAUACCGUCGUAGUCUUAACCAUAAACUAUGCCGACUAGGGAUCGGAUGAUGUUAAUUUUUAAUGUACUCAUUCGGCGCCUUACGG